UACGUAGGUGACAAGCGUUGUCCGGAUUUACUGGGCGUAAAGAGCGCGCAGGCGGUCGGAUCAGUCGAAUGUGAAAGCCCCCGGCUCAACUGGGGAGGGUCAUUCGAUACUGUCCGACUCGAAGGCAGGAGAGGGAAGCGGAAUUCCCGGUGUAGUGGUGAAAUGCGUAGAUAUCGGGAGGAACACCGGUGGCGAAGGCGGCGAUCUGGCCCAACACUGACACUGAGACCCGAAAGCGCGGGGAUCAAACAGG
rnacentral:rRNA from 1 species